rnacentral:rRNA from 1 species
CAAGCGGUGGAACAUGUGGUUCAAUUCGACGCUACGCGAGGAACCUUACCUGGGCUCGAAAUGCUUCGGACCAGCUGUAGAAAUACGGCCUUCCCGCAAGGGACCGGAGUAUAGGCGCUGCAUGGCUGUCGUCAGCUCGUGCCGUGAGGUGUUGGGUUAAGUCCCGCAACGAGCGCAACCCUUGCACACAGUUACUACUCGCAAGAGAGGACUCUGUGUGGACUGCUCCGGAUAACGGAGAGGAAGGUGGGGAUGACGUCAAGUCCGCAUGGCCUUUAUGUCCAGGGCUACACACGUGUUACAAUGCAGGGCACAAACCGUUGCCAACCCGUGAGGGGGAGCUAAUCGGAAAAAACUCUGCUCAGUUCGGAUUGCAGUCUGCAACUCGACUGCAUGAAGCCGGAAUCGCUAGUAAUGGCGUAUCAGAUCGACGCCGUGAAUACGUUCCCGGGCCUUGUACACACC